rnacentral:rRNA from 1 species
CACGUAGUUAGCCGGCGCUUUCUCUGCAGGUACCGUCAAUCUCUCUUCUUCCCUGCUAACAGGGGUUUACAACCCGAAGGCCGUCAUCCCUCACGCGGCGUCGCUGCAUCAGGCUUGCGCCCAUUGUGCAAUAUUCCCCACUGCUGCCUCCCGUAGGAGUCUGGGCCGUGUCUCAGUCCCAGUGUGGCCGGUCACCCUCUCAGGCCGGCUACCCGUCGUCGCCUUGGUGAGCCGUUACCUCACCAACAAGCUGAUAGGCCGUGAGCCCAUCUAUAACCACUACAUAACGCUUUCCACCAACACCCCAUGCGGAGAUUGGUCGUAUCCGGUAUUAGAUCCAGUUUCCCAGGCUUAUCCCAGAGUUAAAGGUAGGUUACUCACGUAUUACUCACCCGUUCGCCACUAAUCCACCUAGCAAGCUAGGCUUCAUCGUUCGACUUGCAUGUGUUAAGCACGCCGCCAGCGUUCGUCCUGAGCCAGGAUCAAACUCU